rnacentral:rRNA from 1 species
UGCGUAGGCGGCCGACUAAGUUCAAGGUGAAAGCGUGGGGCUCAACCCCAUAAAGCCUUGGAUACUGGUUGGCUGGAGUACUGGAGAGGGUAGUGGAAUUCCAUGUGUAGCGGUAAAAUGCGUAGAUAUAUGGAAGAACACCGGAGGCGAAGGCGGCUACCUGGACAGUAACUGACGCUGAGGCACGAAAGCGUGGGGAGCGAAUA